AACUUUAUAUAAAUGAAGAUUCUAUCAUACAUAGGAAAAUCCAGACACCAAGAUGAACACAAACAAAAAUUUCUGACCUUUGGCUGCAGAGACUUGGCUAAUGAUAUAGUCCCUUUCUUGUUGAUCGAGUAAAAGUUGGUGAGCUUUCGCCAAUGCUGAAAAUAUAUGGAUAACCCUAUGUUAAUUUAAGCAUACAUUACUAAAGACAGCAUUGAUAUAUCCUCAAUGUAUAACUGAGAGUUUUCAUCGAUGUUUCUGUCUAAGAGGACUAACAUAUUACCAAAUACCAAACUUUCACCAGUUGCUAACCAACAAUGGCUUAAUGUAUCUAAGGUGAUGUCAAUCAGAGAGAAUGUUAAAAGUAAAUUUUACUCACAUAAAACACAAUAUAUAACUGAUAAAAUUGAAUAUCGCUUUCUUUUUCUUUUGAAUAGAAAAUCAAAGACUUCACUGAAAAAAUCUGGUAAUUGAAAACCUUCACACGUCUCUGUCAACAAUCUAGAGCAAAAUAUCAACUGUUAGUUUAUUGCAUCAAGAAUACAAACUAGAAAAACACAGCAUGCAAAACUCAGCUUAGAUCACAGGUUCAGGCCAAAACUGACGGGAUGAAUUUCAUCAUUAGUAUAAUGGAUAUAAAGAAUCAAAUUCUGAGUCACAAACCUACUUUCAGUUCUAAAAUUCAGUAUAAUCUUACAAUAUCUUCAGAUAAGAAUGCCAUGCAUUAAAAUCAUAAAAAAAUUCCAUCUGAUUCAGAAUGUGUCCACAAAACAAGACUAAUGUGAUACUGUUACGUUAACAAUAACUAAGAUGUCCCCAAAAUUUCCAUCUCAUCCAAUAAUCAGGAAUGUUACAACUGAGAUGAUUGUUACCCAGAUGAAGAAAUCGUAGUUGUUUUGGCCCAGGUGUUGCAUCACAAGAAGUGGAUGGCAGAUCCAGAAAAUGAUGAACUGAAAAGAUAUAGUACGACUCCAUUGGAAGAAAAAAGCAGCAAUGAACCGUUGAACUGGUUAGAAAUUAUAUCACUUACUGAAGAUGGGCACAAACUAUAUAUUGAAUCUCCACUUGUAAUUGAUUGUCGGUGAGAUUGAGGUAAUGUAGUUGGGAAGAUAUGUUCCAAAACCAGGUUUGAAUGGUGCCUGAGAUUCCCGUACCAGGUGGUCUUAGAAGCCAUGAAGGCAGUUAAAACCUCAUAUCCCAAUAAUCUAACCACAGGCUUCCAAGUUGAAAUGAAGGAAGGCAAUCUAGACUUGUUUUCACAGUCAAUGAGUUUCCUGGCGCCGUUAAUAAUUUUAAGUGAAGGGAUCGAAGACAAACUGGCUUCGACGACGAACACAAAACUACAAUCUCCCAUCACCACAUAAUCCCAUCACCUUAAAUCCCAUAACCUUGUAGUUCCUUGGAGCAUCCUAACAUCAGAAUCAUGAUCUGGAUCAUAUUGGUGUUAAUUUGGUGUAAAGUCACAUCUGAAUCUCUAGGCAGUCCUUCAGCCUUUGCAAGCCUGUUGAACAGCAAAAAUGUAGACUGUAGUAUCCUCUGUAGAAGCCUGACGAGCUCAAAUGGAACUUGAACUUAGAAGACACAUACGACCUCUAUACAUAAUGGUAUGACUUAAUGGAGCUGCCUCUAUAGUUUCUCUUCAAGACCACUCAAAAGGAUUAUCUCAGGAACUAACACCGAUGACAAAAUCAGCACGCAUAUUCUGUGCAGAGGAGGUCUCUGUACUUGGCCAAAAGCUUUUCGGUAAUUCCUCCACUAAUGUCUUGAUACAGUUUGCUGUCUGUGCAGAGGAGUACAAACUCUCUAGAAGGCUCUUAAGGAUUGAGACCGCUUCAUCUUUUCCUAGACCCCAUAGUUUACAUACUCCUGUUAAGACACAGAUUUUUGCCGUGGUUUGGACUACAACUGCUAGAUAGGGUAGGGUCCAGCUGGACUUUCACCAGUGAUCAUCCAUACAGUUAGUCCCACUGAGCACUACAUUGGCAAGGUUGGUGGCUGCAGCGCAGGUAGGAUGAUGGGAUUUGGUUUAUGAAUUCUAGGAACUUGCUUUCUUACUUCUGAGCUAGAAAUAACUUUUCCAAUGAUAUUUCCACUCCAAAGUCACCCGUGUUACUUGCCACCAUCAAUGAAUUUGCAAGAGCCUGGCCAAAACUAGUAACCCCUUCUUGAUUCUCGACCUCUGACAUCAGCAUUAUAUCUGUCUUCUCCUAACACUUUCCUGACCUCAACAUGUCAAUUUUACCUUUCAAAAUAGGGACAACUUUAUUCGGAUUUCCCCACCCCAUGAUGUCCACUGUCGUCGUCUAUCAAAGUUGGAAGAUCCAACCACUCCAGAAUAUUGCCAUGCUUCACCAAAGACUGCAGACUACUCACACUGACGACAUACCCAACCUAGCCAGAACUUUCAAAGUACUCCAAGCAUAAGCGUGUGUACUAAUAUACUCAAAGUACUUCAUAGUAUAUGUAUCUGAUGAAAAUAAGGUAACGAACUAUUAACAAGCAUAAGUACACAAGCGUCAGUUGUAGAUUGACCUUUAUUCUAAAAAAAAAAAACUAACUUGAUAACAUUAGACAAGAAAUAAACAUCACAUGAUCAUCCAUAUUCCAAGCUAGUAUUGCCUAACUCAAAGGUUAGAAUCAUAUACAUAAUUCGUAACUAAACUAAAAUAUCAUAGUUUGGACUCCCUUAUAUCUGUCUUUCUUCUUUUCGUUUUUAACUUGUUUAAAAUUUCUAUGUUCCAAUCAACACCUACACAAGAAGUACACAGGAAGAGAAGUGCAAGGCUUCACCCCCACAGAAACUCCAAUCAACACCUACACAGGAACUCAAAUGCAACAUGAUAGAACUAUAGGAAAUUAUGAUAAUGCACAUACAAAACACAUGUGAAAAAACAAUUACCACACAGUUAUGAAUUAGACAGGGGCUGAUUCUAUAGUUCCAUGGAGCUGCCAACCGUGAGCCGCUAUGGAAACCCUGAAAAUGGCAGAAGCACAUUAGAACCAAGUAAUAAAUUCAGAAUUAGACAGACACCACGACAACUAACUGGCCACAGACACGUUGCUUUAUGACACAAAGCAUUGGAUGAUUGACCUCACAAAACAAUACAGUAGGAUUCAAUACUUGAUUGACCAUCAUCAUCUCUUGAUGGACCAUGACUCCCCUAUUUGCCAAAUAAUCAGCCUCGGUAUUACCUUCCCUAUACACAUGAACUGCAUCAACCAUCCCCUCCAAAAAAGGCAUCAAGAAAUCAAGCAAAUGCCAAUACGGCAUAAUCUCGCGGGGGACAGCAAUAGUACGACACAGUGCCUUUAUUAAGGUUGUGGAAUCAGACUCUAUAACCAGCUUAAACCCCGAAUCCAUAAGACCCAGAUCACAGAAAGUUUUUAUCCCAUCAGUUAGGGCUAAAAACUCGGCAACCAAAGCAGUUUGAACCCCGUAACCUCUGAAGGUUUGGAAAAUGACAUUUCCGUUUGGGUCCCGGAGAAUGGAACCACCGCCGGAGAGACCGGGGUUGCCCUUGGAUGCACCAUCGGUGUUAAGCUUUAACCACCCCGGGUUGGGUGGCUCCCACCGAACCCAGUUCCUGGGUUUCUUACCCCGGUGACGGUGUCGCUGCCCAUCAUCGGGGUGAUGAUCAGGAACAGCAGGCAUCAACACAGUCGCCAUUAAAACCAGCGAUGAAAUUGAGAUAGAGAGAUCGGUACCUUGUGAUACCCAGAAGAAUUGAGCGACGAAACAGAGCGUUGAGAGAGAGAGAGAGAGAGUGAGAGCGUUGAUACAGAGCGCAGACGAGAGAUGAGACCGUUGGGCUAUAUUUAUCAACUAUUAAUGAAGCAGAAAGUUUUUUUUGACUUUCUCAACGGUUCAAUUUUUGAACUGCUGAAUUACUUUUUCAUCGUUACAUUAUAAAACACUAUUAAUUAAUAUUUAAAGGUUUUAGUGGUAACUUAAUAAUAAUAAAAUUAUAAAACAGAAAAAAGAAAAAAAGCAAACGUGCAGAAAUUAGAGGUGGGAGUCCUAGAUUCAUGGAUAGUAAAUCUGUAAUAACUACUUUUAUAACUACAAUGGUAAAAGAAAAUGUUUCAACAAAAUUAAUUUAAAAUGUCUCAAUUUAAAAUAAUUUUUUUUGCUAUUGUUACUUUCUUUCUAAAAAAAUAAAUAAACUAAAAAAAAGAGCAAAUAUGAGACUAUUAAACAAUCUCCAGUAAGAGAGGGCUAAAUUUUAGCCCAAUUAAAUAUUUUAUGAUUUCACAUUAUAUUAUUAAAAUAACAUUAUUUGGAUUUGGACCAAGAUAAAUAUUUGAGAAAUUUUUUUUAUCUUAUUUAUUUUGUUUAGUUGAUAACAUGUUUGGCUUAUAUUUUCAGUGCCACAUGUCUGUUUGCAAGUGAAUUUAUGGAUUCCCCGUUGGAUGUAAUGUUGACGUAGCAAAACUAAUC
rnacentral:lncRNA from 1 species